UCUCCGUAGGUGAACCUGCGGAGGGAUCAUUACAGAGUUCGUGCCCUCACGGGUAGAUCUCCCACCCUGUGUUAUUAUACCUUUGUUGCUUUGGCGGGCCGCCCUCGACUACCGGCCCCGGCUGGUACGCGCCCGCCAGAGGACCCCAAACUCUGAAUGUUAGUGUCGUCUGAGUACUAUACAAUAGUUAAAACUUUCAACAACGGAUCUCUUGGUUCUG
rnacentral:misc_RNA from 1 species